ACAAAGGCUCUUUUAAGAGCCACCACACAUCUUAUCAAAAGAGUUGU
rfam:Larimichthys crocea isolate SSNF unplaced genomic scaffold scaffold101, whole genome shotgun sequence.